CUGAACCAGCCAAGUAGCGUGAAGGAUGACUGCCCUAUGGGUUGUAAACUUCUUUUAUAUGGGAAUAAAGUGGUCCACGUGUGGAUUUUUGUAUGUACCAUAUGAAUAAGGAUCGGCUAACUCCGUGCCAGCAGCCGAUGUAAUAAUGAGGAUCCGAGCGUUAUCCGGAUUUAUUGGGUUUAAAGGGAGCGUAGGCGGAUUGUUAAGUCAGUUGUGAAAGUUUGCGG
rnacentral:rRNA from 1 species